GACGAACGCUGGCGGCGUGCUUAACACAUGCAAGUCGAACGAAGUGGCGAACGGGUGAGUAAUACGUGGGUAACCUGCCCUCCUUUUUGGGAUAAGCCAUGGAAACGGGGGCUAAAACCGAAUAAAGGGGGAGGGGCUGGCGGCCUAUGAGCUUGUUGGGGGGGUGAUGGCCUACCAGGGCGGUGACGGGUAGGCGGCCUGAGAGGGCGACCGGCGACAUUGGGACGGCGAUACGGCCCAGGCGAGUACGUAGGGCAGCAGUGGGGGAUAGUGCACAAUGGGCGAAAGCCUGAUGCAGCGACUCUGCGGGAGGGAUGAGGGCUUUCGGGUUGUAAACCUCGUUCACUAUCGAAAGGGUAGCUGGAGAAGAAGCGCCGGCUAACUACGUGCCAGCCGCCGCGGUAAUAC
rnacentral:rRNA from 1 species